UGAACACUGAUGGCAAUAUUUUCUCACGUCUCCUCAGUCUUGUCUUCUUGUCUUCUCUAAAAUAUGUUGAGAUUGUUGAAUUUUAGAUGUAGAUGUUUUGACUGCCAAGUCAGUUUACAUUAUGAAUAAUAACUCAUCGACAUUUCUCCAGAAAAAAAAAAAAAAUUCCAAAAAAAUGAUUUACAUAUUUUGCAAUACCACAGGAAUGUGGUGGUUUAUUAUGUCAGGUUUGUCAAUAUAGGAUUAUUCCUGUACUUGUCAGAUCCCAGGUUCCUGCACUCUGCUCAUGGCAAACUUGCUACAAGAAGAAAUUUAACCACUGUUUAAAACUGAGCUAGUUGUGUGGAAAUGCUCAUUUUACAGUUCUUGAGUAUGUACUUUUGUUUUAGUCCUAGCUAGUACUUCUUCCCCUUCAGGAAUGAUUUCAAAAGUAGUAAAAGCUUUAGCAGCCCUGAAAACAGAAAUGAAAAAUCAUGUGGUGACCAAUCUCAGUUCCCUGUGUGCUCUGAGGACUUGAUCAAAAACCCACCCAAGCAAGGCAUCAGCCCUGUGCAGGGGGAAGGUGCGGCUGCUCAAAGUGGAGCCAGGGCACCAAAUCUUUGCUCCCAGCACUUCAGGAGGGAAAGCCUGAGAGCCUAACCUCUAAUUCACAGGGGUGCUUUUGAAACGACCACUUUGCCUUGGCCACCCCAAAAGAAACAAAGAGCAGGAGCUGCCAAGCUAACAGGAUUGUAACAGUCCUCUGAUCAGCUACACAAAAACAGUGGUGGUUAUUCACAGCAGGACCAUCAGGUCCCUCCCACACACAACAGGCUGAGGCAGGUAAUACCACAUUCUGCACAAAAUGUAGAUAGUAUUAUCACUAAUAAGCACAUUUGUCUCACUUAGCUGUUUAACUAACAGAAGAAAAGUAUGACUUGAGGAAAAAAAAUACACAGAGAAGUUGAGAUUACAGUCUCCUUCACCUGGAGGUUAGCUUGGAAAUGGGCUCUAAGCAAAUCCUUCCACACUAGAUAAUUAGGAGGUUUUGCAGUUAAUCAGAAACUUGUGGUCCAUCUACCCAAGACAUGCCUGCAGGGGAGGUGGAGUAGAUGGAGGGUUUCCACUUGGGCCAGUCAAGUCCCCUCCUUUUCCUCAUCUGUUGAUCUGUUGCAGUGGCUCUGACAGCUCUGACAGUCAUGAAGAGCUGUGGCUGAAAGGCUCUCAUCAGGAGAAUAUGAAGCUGUGUCACAGACAGUAGCUCUCAUGCAAAAUGUGUCCAAAGACAGAGAGCUGGGGAGAAAUGUUGGUGAGUGGACGAAAGCAGGAGAGCUGAGAUGGUGAACUGGAGGGGCUAAGAUGGCCCCUGGUGGGGGACCAAAUGGACUCCAUGGGCUGCACCAAAACAUGGAGCCUUCUGGAAGAACUCUGGUUUGCUCCCGAGCAGGCAGCGAGAGCAAAGGAUGCUACUAGCUCCCCUAGUAACCCUGCAGAGGAUGGAGAGGGUGCUCACCCUGCACACUGGAUGGAGAGAGCAAAACACCACAAGCAAAGGGACAUCAAUCAGGAAAGGCUGAGGAUCCCAAAGUUUUAGUCCUCCCAGAAAAGCUGAAUAUGCUGUGGGGGACACUGACCAAGUCCAGCACUUGGGAAAUGCUGCAGAAAGUGAAUUUUCUGAUAAAGGUUUGCAAGCACUUAAUGGCAUCCACAGAACAUGUAUAUUGUGGGGGAAAGGACAGCGAUGCCACCACUGCUCAGACCAAUGGAUUACAUUGCAGCAGCAGAUGCCUGGGUUAUCAGUGCAAAAACAAUUGAAAUAUUUCCUCCUUUUAAAUUGAAUGUUGGUCCAUGAUAAUGUCACCCCUGUGACAGUGACACUGAAGGAAAAGCCACAGUCAGUAGGGCAUAAACAAGUGAAACUCAGGACACGCACAGUGUUGCUCUUUAUCCUCACUGGGGCAUUAUGUGAACUCAGCAUUACUGAAGCAACAACAGUAAGUAGGGGAGAAGGAAGCAGCAGCUGUUGUAUUUGGAAUACAUCUGUCUCCUGCUCUUUUUAGGAGUUUGCAUUCAUCUGGUAGAUCUGGGGACAAAAGAGAAGAAGAAGCGUUUAAAGUGCCAGAGCUCAAGGGCUGUAGUAAAACAACAUGUACCCCUCACACAGGGGCUGAGAGAGAAGCUGGGCUGCCUCCGUGUCCAUGGCAGAGGAGCCAGGACUGGCCACCCAUGGAAUAAAAACAGGUCUUCUCACUGCAUAGACCCCACAGGAUAAAGAAAGUUAAAAAGCAAAUGUUUUGCACCAAUGAAAAUAGGAGCCUUUUCUGCAGAGGUGGCUGGUG